AGGCAGCUUUUCCGACCCAGCCCCGAGCCCGCGCGGGGGCUCCCCCUUGCCCGGCCGGGUCCUCCCCUUCCUGCCGGCUGCUGGCUGCGGCCCCAGCUCCAGCGCCCCGGGGCUGAAGCCGAACACCCUCGGCCCCGUGGUCUUCGCCCCGAGGUCCUCCCCGCCUCCCAGGACUCGGGGCUCCCCGAGGUCGCAGGGAGGAGGGGCUGCAGGUCUCAGGGUUCCUCCUUCGACUUGCCCGGACUCAGCUUUCAGUUGUGCAACGGGAGAGCGGGACCCGGGCGUGGCCCGGCUGCGCCUCGACCCUUCUCCUUAAACAGUAACAGGAUGACUGCAUUGUGUCAGGCUCUGUGGAGGUACCGGGGGCCUGAAAGUCUAGGAGGAAAGACAGACAAAUUCACCACCACAUGACCAUGGACGAAGGGUAAGGGCUGGCAGAGAUAUUCCAAGAGCACUACAGGAUCCUGAGGGACCUCUCACUCUGACCGUGAUGGGCUGGCUGGGGAGACGGGGAGCUCAAGGGCUCCUUCCUCCUGCCAUGUUUGACUUGACUGAGUUGUAACCUCCUCCACAUGACCUCCACCUUGUAUCUUCUCUUCAUCCCCCCUGUUGCAGGAGCUGUUCAGGAGCUCAUCACUUCUCAUCAGGAAACAUGUAAACUGAGAAAAAGAAAGACAGGAUGGAAACUGGAGAAAAAGCCAGUGGAACCUGAGAAGGAGCUACGGGGGGCGGGGGGGGGGGGGGGUAGGAGGAAGCUAGGAAGGAAGUAGGUACCAGAGGCCGAGGGAGGAGGGGCUCCUGAAAGGAAGGGGCUGAUCCGGCAAUAUGACAUUUCACUCAAAGGUUGGGUCAGACAAUGGAUGAAGAGUGUCCAUUAGAUCUGACAGCUGAGAGGUUGUGGUAACCUGGCCAGGGGGUAGGAUUCAGGAGGAUUCAAAUCUGAGGUACUCAUGGUUUGAAUAGUCCCCUUCCUUUGUAUGAUAUUUUUUCUACACUGCCACUUACUUCUGGAAUGGAAGUUAACUCAAGAAAACCUGGAUCUUUUAGCUGAUGUUCAAGUCCCUACCAAUCCCACUGAAAUGUACCUGUCCUAUCAGCCAUCUUGAGACUCUCCACCAGGUUUGCUCUACUCCAUAGUGACAUUGUCCAGAGUAAACCAGAAAAAGAAGAAGAAGAAGAAGAAGAAGAAGAAGAAGAAGAAGAAGAAGAAGAAGAAGAAGAAGAAGAAUCAUCUUUGCAAAUAGGCAAAGAUGUAGGCAAAAUAUUCCAAGGCUCUCCAAGCCUCCUUUCCCUUAUGAUGUGUAUCUGAGUAGGAGCAUCAUGCUUCUGACUGUUGAAUUAUCCAGGAGAAUGGCUUAAGUGGUAAAGUCCGUGCAUAAACAAGAUGAAGGUGUGCUAGUCAGUAGUUGGAGAAUAUGUUUAGACCACAGGAGCUUUGUCAUGUGCUCUGUUCUUGAAUAUUUUUGUGCCCCCCUCCCACAUUCCCAUAUUAGAAUCCUAAUGCCCAAUGUGGUACCAUAGGAGCCAGGGCCUUUAGAUGAUUAAAUCAUGAGGGCAGAGCUCUCGUGGAGAGUAAUGCCAUUACAAAAGAUGCCCCAGGAGAGCUCCCUUGCCCCUUCUGCGUGUGAGGAUACAAGGAGAAGUCUGCAGCUGGGAAGAGAGUGCUCACUGGACUCUACUGGCACCCUGAUCACAGACUUGCAGCCUCCAGAAGUGCUAGAAAAACACUUCUGCUGCAUAAGCUCCCCAGCCUGUAGUAUUUUGUUACAGCAGCCAGGAUGGACUAGGACACCUUGCUUUUCAGAUCACACUGGGCUUGUGUCUGGGUGGCUGAUGGGGUGGCAGGAGGGAAAGAGAAUGGAGAUGGAAGGAUGGAGCGACAGAGGAUAAAGAGAGAAAAGAAUAAACAGCAGAUGAAGUAAUUUUUAGUUUUCACUGUUACCAAACAAGAACUUGAGUCACACAUAUACCUGUAACGAGGCCCAUAGGUUUUCCUUCUCAUCCUUUAUGUGCCUGCAGAUAAUAAAACACCUGCAAAAUACC